rnacentral:rRNA from 1 species
GAUGAAUGCUGGCGGCGUACCUAACACAUGCAAGUCGAGCGGCAGCGCGAGAAGUUUACUUCUUGGCGGCGAGCGGCGGACGGCUGAGUAACGCGUGGGAACGUGCCCCAAAGUGAGGAAUAACUGCCCGAAAGGGUGGCUAAUGCCGCAUAUGAUCUUCGGAUUAAAGGAUUUAUCCGCUUUGGGAGCGGCCCGCGUUAGAUUAGGUAGUUGGUAGGGUAAUGGCCUACCAAGCCGACGAUCUAUAGCUGGUCUGAGAGGAUGAUCAGCCAGACUGGAACUGAGACACGGUCCAGACUCCUACGGGAGGCAGCAGUGAGGAAUCUUCCACAAUGGGCGAAAGCCUGAUGGAGCAACGCCGCGUGCAGGAUGAAGGCCCUAGGGUCGUAAACUGCUUUUAUAAGUGAAGAAUAUGACGGUAACUUAUGAAUAAGCACCGGCUAACUACGUGCCAGCAGCCGCGGUAA